GGGCGGUUAGCUCAGCUGGUAGAGCGCCUGCCUUACAAGCAGGAGGUCACUGGUUCGAUCCCAGUACCGCCCA
rnacentral:tRNA from 1 species